rnacentral:tRNA from 1 species
GGAGGGAUGGCUGAGUGGCUGAAAGCGGCGGUCUUGAAAACCGUUUUCCGGCAACGGAACGUGGGUUCAAAUCCUACUCCCUCCGCCA